rnacentral:antisense_RNA from 3 species
CUUCACCGACCCCAGCCACAGCGGGCGGCCCGGCUCCCGCCCCUGCCCGUAGGUCGCCAGCAACGCGCCGAGCUC